GAUAUGAAUUUGUAGUGUACAACAAAAACAAAAUAUUACUCUUGGAAAUUCAAAACCAUUUGAAGAAACGAAAAUGUUUCUAGGAAAAGUUAUCUAUGAAGAAAAGAAAUGCUUCAAAUACUGGUUUGUAAAGGACUGCAUUUACUGAAUGUUCUUUGCAGACAUAACUAAAUAAAUCGCAUAUCGGUUCGAAAGAUUAGCACGCGAUGGUUGGCAAUUCGCAUUCCUCCGGUAGGAGCUGCAGGCAUCCAUUGUACGAGCGCAUCACAAUUAUACGGAAAAGUUACGGAUUCAACUUGAUAAUUUCUAUCGAGGCCGCUGCUGGGACAAAAUUGGAAAAGCUACGAAAAAGUUUAUACUUAUCACCGGUAACAACAAAACCCGUUUCAUGCAGUAGUAAAAAAGGGUUCAUCCUCAUGGAAAUAUCCACUAAAGUCUGACACGUUUCGGGAUGCAGUAUCUUUGUGUGCUUCGAAACUGCUCCAUGUUAUGCACUUGAACUCAGCAUUCAUUGAGAUUUAGCUACCAUAAGAACAACGAAACAGACAAUUU